rnacentral:rRNA from 1 species
AUGUACAUGGAGAUCCUGAUGGAGUACGAUGAUGGCAAUGUGGAGCAGGUGGACCUCAUGGAGUUUGGCUGGGCUGGCAGCGGUCGGCGGUGGACGCGGGUGCAUGAGUUGUGGGGCUCCAUCUGCCGCUCGACCACCGCUUACUCCCACUAUGUUCACUGGUUUUGUUUUCAUUGUCACGCCUGUUCCUCAUCGACCUGCAGCAGCAGGAGACACGAGAUCACCUCCAGCACCACUGGUCACAUGAAGGUCGCCAAAAUGGCACGAGAGAGGUUUGGACGGACGCUGAUCACUAGCACACUGUGA